UACGUAGGGGGCAAGCGUUGUCCGGAAUCAUUGGGCGUAAAGAGCGUGUAGGCGGCUCGGUAAGUCCGCUGUGAAAGUCCAGGGCUCAACCCUGGAAUGCCGGUGGAAACUGUCGAGCUAGAGUCCGGAAGAGGCGAGUGGAAUUCCUGGUGUAGCGGUGAAAGUGCGCAGAUAUCAGGAGGAACACCGGUGGCGAAGGCGGGUCUCUGGGCCG
rnacentral:rRNA from 1 species